UCUGGUUGAUCCUGCCAGUAGUCAUAUGCUUGUCUCAAAGACUAAGCCAUGCAUGUCUAAGUAUAAAUGAUAUACAGUGAAACUGCGAAUGGCUCAUUAAAACAGUUAUAGUUUAUUUGGUAAUCGAAUUUACAUGGAUAACCGUGGUAAUUCUAGAGCUAAUACAUGCUGUAAAGCCCGACUUCACGGAAGGGCCGUAUUUAUUAGAUAACAGACCAAUAUUCCUCGUGUCUAUUGUGGUGAAUCAUAGUAACUAAUCGGAUCGCAUGGGCUAGUCCCGCGACAAACCAUUCAAGUUUCUGCCCCAUCAGCUUUCGAUGGUAGUGUAUUGGACUACCAUGGCUUUUACGGGUAACGGAGGAUUAGGGUUCGAUUCCGGAGAGGGAGCCUGAGAAACGGCUACCACAUCUAAGGAAGGCAGCAGGCGCGUAAAUUACCCAAUCCUAAUUCAGGGAGGUAGUGACAAGAAAUAACGGGUCGGGGCUCUGCCCCGGGACUGCAAUGAGAUGAAUUUACACCCCUCUUCGAGUAACAAUUGGAGGGCAAGUCUGGUUGAUCCUGCCAGGAGGGCAAGUCUGGUUGAUCCUGCCAGGAGGGCAAGCCUGGUUGAUCCUGCCAGGAGGGCAAGUCUGGUUGAUCCUGCCAGCUGGUUGAUCCUGCCAGGAG
rnacentral:rRNA from 1 species